rnacentral:lncRNA from 1 species
UAAAGAAGUCUCCUUCAGCCUUCAAGUCUUCAAGACAUUCAAGAGGAGACCCAGAGUUCGAGAAGCCCUCUUCUACAUCAUCAUAAACUUGUUUGAGGGCUCUUAACUUCUCUCCUAUUUAUAUUGCUGAAUAUCUGCUUGUUUAGAAGCUGUAUUUUUCUGUUUGUUUUUCUAUCCAUUUGGUCCUUACUUGAUUCAAUCAGGGGAUUGAAUCAAGGGUGUAAAGGUUUGUUGGUGAGCCUAGGUUGAAACCAACGUGUAAGGGUUUGAUUGUGAUCCCGGAAAAAUAAUCGGGUGGUUCUAGUCGGUGAGCCUGGGAAAACCGACCGAGUUCGUUGUGAUCUCGUAAAACAAC